rnacentral:pre_miRNA from 1 species
GAAGUACUCCCUCUGUCCCAAAAUUCUUGUCUUAGAUUUGUUUAGAUAUGAAUGUAUCUAGUCAAGUUUUAGUAUUUAGAUACAUUCAUUUCUAGACAAAGAUAAGACAAGAAUUUUCGGACGUAGGGAGUAAUAA